rnacentral:rRNA from 1 species
AGAGUUUGAUCAUGGCUCAGAUUGAACGCUGGCGGCAGGCUUAACACAUGCAAGUCGAACGGAACCUUCGGGUUUAGUGGCGAACGGGUGAGUAAUACCUAGGAAUCUGCCUAUUAGUGGGGGAUAACGGCUCGAAAGGGUCGCUAAUACCGCAUACGUCCUACGGGAGAAAGAGGGGGAUCUUCGGACCUCUUGCUAAUAGAUGAGCCUAGGCCGGAUUAGCUAGUUGGUAGGGUAAAGGCCUACCAAGGCGACGAUCCGUAGCUGGUCUGAGAGGAUGAUCAGCCACACUGGAACUGAGACACGGUCCAGACUCCUACGGGAGGCAGCAGUGGGGAAUAUUGGACAAUGGGGGCAACCCUGAUCCAGCCAUGCCGCGUGUGUGAAGAAGGCCUUCGGGUUGUAAAGCACUUUAAGCGAGGAGGAAGGUCUUUGAACUAUAUUUCAAAGAAUUGACGUUACUCGCAGAAUAAGCACCGGCUAACUCUGUGCCAGCAGCCGCGGUAAUACAGAGGGUGCAAGCGUUAAUCGGAAUUACUGGGCGUAAAGCGCGCGUAGGCGGUAUGUUAAGUCGGAUGUGAAAUCCCUGGGCUCAACCUAGGCAUUGCAUCCGAUACUGGCACACUAGAGUGUGGGAGAGGAAGGUAGAAUUCCAGGUGUAGCGGUGAAAUGCGUAGAGAUCUGGAGGAAUACCGAUGGCGAAGGCAGCCUUCUGGCCUAACACUGACGCUGAGGUGCGAAAGCAUGGGGAGCAAACAGGAUUAGAUACCCUGGUAGUCCAUGCCGUAAACGAUGUCAACUAGCCGUUGGGCUCCUCGAGGGCUUAGUGGCGCAGCUAACGCGAUAAGUUGACCGCCUGGGGAGUACGGUCGCAAGACUAAAACUCAAAUGAAUUGACGGGGGCCCGCACAAGCGGUGGAGCAUGUGGUUUAAUUCGAUGCAACGCGAAGAACCUUACCUGGCCUUGACAUGUCUGGAAUCCUGCAGAGAUGCGGGAGUGCCUUCGGGAAUCAGAACACAGGUGCUGCAUGGCUGUCGUCAGCUCGUGUCGUGAGAUGUUGGGUUAAGUCCCGCAACGAGCGCAACCCUUUUCUUUACUUGCCAGCACUUCGGGUGGGAACUUUAAAGAUACUGCCGGUGACAAACCGGAGGAAGGCGGGGACGACGUCAAGUCAUCAUGCCCCUUACGGCCAGGGCUACACACGUGCUACAAUGGUCGGUACAAAGGGUUGCUACCCCGCGAGGGCAUGCUAAUCUCAAAAAGCCGAUCGUAGUCCAGAUUGGAGUCUGCAACUUGACUCCAUGAAGUCGGAAUCGCUAGUAAUCGCGGAUCAGAAUGCCGCGGUGAAUAC